GAAGUUGCGCAGUGGCAGUAUCAUAGCCGCUGAGGUUAAUCCGAGGUGUGAUUAUUGCUAAUUGAAACUGCCAUUGUUGAGCCAACAUUUAUUAUGUCUGGUGGCG
rnacentral:snRNA from 1 species